rnacentral:rRNA from 1 species
GUUGUAUGGUUAAGUGACUAAGCGUACACGGUGGAUGCCUGGGCAGUCAGAGGCGAUGAAGGACGUACUAACUUGCGAUAAGCGCAGAUAAGGCAGUAAGAGCCGUUUGAGUCUGCGAUUUCCGAAUGGGGAAACCCAACUGCAUAAGCAGUUACUGUUAACUGAAUACAUAGGUUAACAGAGCAAACCGGGGGAACUGAAACAUCUAAGUACCCCGAGGAGAAGAAAUCAACCGAGAUUCCGGUAGUAGCGGCGAGCGAACCUGGAUUAGCCCUUAAGCGCUCGGUGAAGUAGGUGAACAAGCUGGAAAGCUUGGCGAUACAGGGUGAUAGCCCCGUAACCGACGCUUCAUCGAGCGUGAAAUCGAGUAGGGCGGGACACGUGAUAUCCUGUCUGAAUAUGGGGGGACCAUCCUCCAAGGCUAAAUACUCCUGACUGACCGAUAGUGAACCAGUACCGUGAGGGAAAGGCGAAAAGAACCCCUGUGAGGGGAGUGAAAUAGAACCUGAAACCGUGUACGUACAAGCAGUAGGAGCACCUUCGUGGUGUGACUGCGUACCUUUUGUAUAAUGGGUCAGCGACUUAUAUUCAGUGGCAAGGUUAACCGUAUAGGGGAGCCGUAGCGAAAGCGAGUCUUAACUGGGCGCUCAGUCUCUGGAUAUAGACCCGAAACCGGGUGAUCUAGCCAUGGGCAGGUUGAAGGUUGAGUAACAUCAACUGGAGGACCGAACCGACUAAUGUUGAAAAAUUAGCGGAUGACUUGUGGCUAGGGGUGAAAGGCCAAUCAAACUCGGAGAUAGCUGGUUCUCCCCGAAAGCUAUUUAGGUAGCGCCUCGGACGAAUACUACUGGGGGUAGAGCACUGUUAAGGCUAGGGGGUCAUCCCGACUUACCAACCCUUUGCAAACUCCGAAUACCAGUAAGUACUAUCCGGGAGACACACGGCGGGUGCUAACGUCCGUCGUGGAGAGGGAAACAACCCAGACCGCCAGCUAAGGUCCCAAAGUAUUGCUAAGUGGGAAACGAUGUGGGAAGGCUCAGACAGCUAGGAUGUUGGCUUAGAAGCAGCCAUCAUUUAAAGAAAGCGUAAUAGCUCACUAGUCGAGUCGGCCUGCGCGGAAGAUGUAACGGGGCUAAGCAAUACACCGAAGCUGCGGCAAUGUCUUUUAGACAUUGGGUAGGGGAGCGUUCUGUAAGCCGUUGAAGGUGAAUCGUAAGGUUUGCUGGAGGUAUCAGAAGUGCGAAUGCUGACAUGAGUAACGACAAAGGGGGUGAAAAACCUCCUCGCCGGAAGACCAAGGGUUCCUGUCCAACGUUAAUCGGGGCAGGGUGAGUCGACCCCUAAGGUGAGGCCGAAAGGCGUAAUCGAUGGGAAACGGGUUAAUAUUCCCGUACUUCUGACUAUUGCGAUGGGGGGACGGAGAAGGCUAGGUGGGCCAGGCGACGGUUGUCCUGGUUCAAGUGCGUAGGCUUGAGAGUUAGGUAAAUCCGGCUCUCUCUAAGGCUGAGACACGACGUCGAGCUGCUACGGCAGUGAAGUCAUUGAUGCCAUGCUUCCAGGAAAAGCCUCUAAGCUUCAGAUAGUCAGGAAUCGUACCCCAAACCGACACAGGUGGUCGGGUAGAGAAUACCAAGGCGCUUGAGAGAACUCGGGUGAAGGAACUAGGCAAAAUGGUACCGUAACUUCGGGAGAAGGUACGCUCUUGAUGGUGAAGUCCCUCGCGGAUGGAGCUGACGAGAGUCGCAGAUACCAGGUGGCUGCAACUGUUUAUUAAAAACACAGCACUGUGCAAAAUCGCAAGAUGACGUAUACGGUGUGACGCCUGCCCGGUGCCGGAAGGUUAAUUGAUGGGGUUAGCGUAAGCGAAGCUCUUGAUCGAAGCCCCGGUAAACGGCGGCCGUAACUAUAACGGUCCUAAGGUAGCGAAAUUCCUUGUCGGGUAAGUUCCGACCUGCACGAAUGGCGUAAUGAUGGCCACGCUGUCUCCACCCGAGACUCAGUGAAAUUGAAAUCGCUGUGAAGAUGCAGUGUACCCGCGGCUAGACGGAAAGACCCCGUGAACCUUUACUACAGCUUGGCACUGAACAUUGAACCUACAUGUGUAGGAUAGGUGGGAGGCUAUGAAGACGUGACGCCAGUUGCGUUGGAGCCGUCCUUGAAAUACCACCCUUGUAUGUUUGAUGUUCUAAC